UGAGGCUACUCUUUUGUGAGGGUCUCUUUGCACAUCCCCUCAUCUUUCUGUGUGUGUCUGUGUGUGUGUGUGUGUCUGUGUGUGUGUGAGAGAGAGAGAUAGAUUGUGUGUCUGUGU